rnacentral:rRNA from 1 species
UACGUAGGCAGCAAGCGUUUGUUCGGAGUUACUGGGCGUAAAGAGUGUGUAGGCGGUUCUCUAAGUUUGGUGUGAAAUCUCCCGGCUUAACUGGGAGGGUGCGCCGAAAACUGGAGGGCUCGAGUAUGGGAGAGGAAAGCGGAAUUCCUGGUGUAGCGGUGAAAUGCGUAGAUAUCAGGAGGAACACCUGUGGUGUAGACGGCUUUCUGGACCAUCACUGACGCUGAGACACGAAAGCGUGGGGAGCAAACAGG